rnacentral:rRNA from 1 species
GACGAACGCUGGCGGCGUGCUUAACACAUGCAAGUCGAACGGAAAGGCCCUGCUUUUGUGGGGUGCUCGAGUGGCGAACGGGUGAGUAACACGUGAGUAACCUGCCCUUGACUUUGGGAUAACUUCAGGAAACUGGGGCUAAUACCGGAUAGGAGCUCCUGCUGCAUGGUGGGGGUUGGAAAGUUUCGGCGGUUGGGGAUGGACUCGCGGCUUAUCAGCUUGUUGGUGGGGUAGUGGCUUACCAAGGCUUUGACGGGUAGCCGGCCUGAGAGGGUGAACGGCCACAUUGGGACUGAGAGACGGCCCAGACUCCUACGGGAGGCAGCAGUGGGGAAUAUGGCGCAAUGGGCGGAAGCCUGAUGCAGCAACGCCGCGUGCGGGAUGACGGCUUUCGAGUUGUGAACCGCUUUCGCCGGUGACGAAGCGUGAGUGACGGUAAUGGGUAAAGAAGCACCGGCUAACUACGUG